rnacentral:rRNA from 1 species
UACAGGGGGGGCAAGCGUUGUUCGGAAUUACUGGGCGUAAAGGGUCUGUAGGUGGCCAACUAAGUCAUCCGUGAAAUCCCUCAGCUUAACUGGGGAACUGCGUGUGAUACUGGUCGGCUUGAGUGCAGGAGAGGAACGCGGAAUUCAUGGUGUAGCAGUGAAAUGCGUAGAGAUCAUGAGGAAGACCAGUGGCGAAGGCGGGUCUCUGGACAGUUCCUGACACUGAGACACGAAGGCCAGGGAGCAAACGGG